GACGUAGGGCGCGAGCGUUGUCCGGAUUAUUGGCGUAAAGAGCUCGUAGGCGGCUUGUCGCGUCGACUGUGAAAUCCCGCGGCUCAACUGCGGGUCUGCAGUCGAUACGGGCAGGCUAGAGUUCGGUAGGGGAGACUGGAAUUCCUGGUGUAGCGGUGAAAUGCGCAGAUAUCAGGAGGAACACCGGUGGCGAAGGCGGGUCUCUGGGCCGAUACUGACGCUGAGGAGCGAAAGCGUGGGGAGCGAACAGG
rnacentral:rRNA from 1 species